GUUACGAUUGUUUUGUUUGUUUGACGCUGAUUGCUUUGACACAAAGAGUUGAAAAGGUCCUACUGGCAGGCAAGCCUGCCGAGGAAACAAAGGGUACGCAAAAAACAGGGUUGAAUAGAACCGGUCAGACCGGCCUACCAUACGUAAUGAUCCUUCCGCAGGUUCACCUACGGAAA
rnacentral:misc_RNA from 1 species